UGGGGAAUAUUGCACAAUGGGCGCAAGCCUGAUGCAGCCAUGCCGCGUGUGUGAAGAAGGCCUUCGGGUUGUAAAGCACUUUCAGCGGGGAGGAAGGCGUUAAGGUUAAUAACCUUGGCGAUUGACGUUACCCGCAGAAGAAGCACCGGCUAACUCCGUGCCAGCAGCCGCGGUAAUACGGAGGGUGCAAGCGUUAAUCGGAAUUACUGGGCGUAAAGCGCACGCAGGCGGUCUGUCAAGUCGGAUGUGAAAUCCUCGGGCUCAACCUGGGAACUGCAUUCGAAACUGGCAGGCUAGAGUCUUGUAGAGGGGGGUAGAAUUCCAGGUGUAGCGGUGAAAUGCGUAGAGAUCUGGAGGAAUACCGGUGGCGAAGGCGGCCCCCUGGACAAAGACUGACGCUCAGGUGCGAAAGCGUGGGGAGCAAACAGG
rnacentral:rRNA from 1 species